AACUGAAGAGUUUGAUCAUGGCUCAGAUUGAACGCUGGCGGCAGGCUUAACACAUGCAAGUCGAGCGGAGGUGAGGUGCUUGCACCUUAUCUUAGCGGCGGACGGGUGAGUAAUACUUAGGAAUCUGGCUAUUAGUGGGGGACAACAUUUCGAAAGGGAUGCUAAUACCGCAUACGUCCUACGGGAGAAAGCAGGGGAUCUUCGGACCUUGCGCUAAUAGAUGAGCCUAAGUCGGAUUAGCUAGUUGGUGGGGUAAAGGCCUACCAAGGCGACGAUCUGUAGCGGGUCUGAGAGGAUGAUCCGCCACACUGGGACUGAGACACGGCCCAGA
rnacentral:rRNA from 1 species